AGCAGUGGGAGCACCCUUUGGGGUGUGACUGCGUACCUUUUGUAUAAUGGGUCAGCGACUUAUAUUCUGUAGCAAGGUUAACCGAAUAGGGGAGCCGGAGGGAAACCGAGUCUUAAUUGGGCGUUAAGUUGCAGGGUAUAGACCCGAAACCCGGUGAUCUAGCCAUGGGCAGGUUGAAGGUUGGGUAACACUAACUGGAGGACCGAACCGACUAAUGAUGAAAAAUUAGCGGAUGACCUGUGGCUGGGGGUGAAAGGCCAAUCAAACCGGGAGAUUGCUGGUUCUCCCCGAAAGCUAUUUAGGUA
rnacentral:rRNA from 1 species